GUCACAAGGCGCUAACACUGACAUAUGUACGGGCAACCAACCUCAACUAGCUAGUAUGGCUAAUCAAGGGCCUUCAUGCAGCACGUGGCAUCAGCCAGCACCCAUGUACCUGCCAUCGACGUCAUACACAGCGUAUUACGCUGGUGGUGACACGGCAAACGUCCCGUGGCAAGCUUCACAAAUUGCAGGUGGAGCACGACAUUUUGGUGUCACAGACCAC